AGCAGCCGCGGUAAUUCCAGCUCCAAUAGCGUAUAUUAAAGUUGUUGCAGUUAAAAAGCUCGUAGUUGAAUUUCGAGACCGGUUUAUUGGUCGUGCUAUUGUACGUACUGGUGUAAUCGGUUUCUACCUUCUGACGAACCAUAAUGCCAUUAAUUUGGUGUUAUGGGAAAUCAGGACUGUUACUUUGAAAAAAUUAGAGUGUUUAAAGCAGGCUCACGCUUGAAUACAUUAGCAUGGAAUAACGGAAUAGGACGUUUGAUUCUAUUUUGUUGGUUUCUAGGAUCGACGUAAUGAUUAAUAGGGAUAGUUGGGGGCAUUAGUAUUCAAUUGUCAGAGGUGAAAUUCUUGGAUUUAUUGAAGACUAACUACUGCGAAAGCAUUUGCCAAGGAUGUUUUCAUUAAUCAAGAACGAAGUUAGGGGAUCGAAGACGAUCAGAUACCGUCGUAGUCUUAACCAUAAACUAUGCCGACUAGGGAUCGGAUGAUGUUAAUUUUUUAAUGUACUCAUUCGGCGCCUUAC
rnacentral:rRNA from 1 species